rnacentral:SRP_RNA from 1 species
GUUUGAUGGGGUGCAGUGGCUUGUGCCUGUACUACCAGUUACUCAGGAGGCUGAGGUGGGAGGAUCACUUGAGCCCAGGAGUUCUAGGCUGUAGUGCGCUAUGCUGAUUGGGUGUCCACACUAAGUUCAGCAUCAAUAUGGUGACCUCUCAGGAGCAGGGGACCACCAGGUUGCCUAAGGAGGGGUGAACUGGCCCAGGUAGGAAACAGAGCAGGUCAAAACUCCCAUGCUGAUCAGUAGUGGCAUCACCUUGUGAAUAGCCAGUGUACUCCAGCCUGGGCAACAUUGCAAGACCUCAUCUCU